rnacentral:rRNA from 1 species
AUGGAUCCGCAUCCGCUUGCCAAUCUUUUUAAGAGAUAUAAUUAUGAUGAACCAAAUUCUAGUGAUUUGAGUGUACUAGAUUAUCUUUAUGAGGUUUUGCUUGAAAUUCGUGAAUCUGAAAAUUGUGAUGAAAAAAUUUAUGAAGAGAUUCACGAUAGCUCCUUGAAUAAAAAGCAUGAUUGCAAUGAUUUUAUUUUAAAUUAUCUUGAUGUCAAUUGUGCUAAUAAUAUCCAAAACCCUAAGCUUGGGGAUGCUAGUUUUUCUAUGUCUACUAUUUGUUGCAAUGAUUAUGAUUGGGAUGAUUCUUAUUUAAGCCCCACGAUGAAUAUGAGAUUGAUAAUAGUGUUUACAAUAAUAUUGAAAGUGGGUUCGGAAGAGUGUCAACUUUAG